CGCGCAGGCGGCUUGGGAAGUCUUGGGUGAAAGCCCCCAGCUCAACUGGGGAACGGCCUGAGAAACCACUAGGCUGGAGUGCUGGAGAGGGAAGCGGAAUUCCCGGUGGAGCGGUGAAAUGCGUAGAUAUCGGGAGGAACACCAGAGGCGAAGGCGGCUUCCUGGACAGACACUGACGCUGAGGCGCGAAAGCUAGGGGAGCAAACG
rnacentral:rRNA from 1 species